UUAAUAAAAUGAAAACUAUCA
rnacentral:piRNA from 1 species